AUUGAACGCUGGCGGUAUGCCUUACACAUGCAAGUCGAACGGUAGAGGGGCAACCCUUGAGAGUGGCGAACGGGUGAGUAAUACAUCGGAACGUGCCCAGUCGUGGGGGAUAACGUAGCGAAAGCUACGCUAAUACCGCAUACGACCCGAGGGUGAAAGCGGGGGACUCGCAAGAGCCUCGCGCGAUUGGAGCGGCCGAUGGCAGAUUAGGUAGUUGGUGGGGUAAAGGCCCACCAAGCCUGUGAUCUGUAGCUGGUCUGAGAGGACGACCAGCCACACUGGGACUGAGACACGGCCCAGACUCCUACGGGAGGCAGCAGUGGGGAAUUUUGGACAAUGGGCGAAAGCCUGAUCCAGCCAUACCGCGUGCGGGAAGAAGGCCUUCGGGUUGUAAACCGCUUUUGUCAGGGAAGAAAUCUUCUGGGCUAAUACCUCGGGAGGAUGACGGUACCUGAAGAAUAAGCACCGGCUAACUACGUGCCAGCCGCCGCCGUAAAAC
rnacentral:rRNA from 1 species